ACCGUUGAGANACGAGUGCUGCAUGGNUGUCGUCAGCUCGUGUUGUGAAAUGUUGGGUUAAGUCCCGCACGAGCGCACCUAUCUGUGCAGCGCGCCGACUCAGAGACUGCCAGUGAUAAACUGAGAGGGAUGACCGUCAGUCAUCAUGCCUUACGACCAGGGCUACACACGUGCUUACAAUGGCGCAUACAAAGAGAAGCGACCUCGCGGAGAGCAAGCGGACCUCAUAAAGNGCNUCUGUAGUCCGGAUUGGAGUCUGCAACUCGNCUCCAUGAAGUCGGAAUCGCUAGUAAUCGUGGAUCANAAUGCCNCGGGNGAAUACGUUCCCGGG
rnacentral:rRNA from 1 species